rnacentral:rRNA from 1 species
GUGCCAGCAGCCGCGGUAAUACGUAGGAGGCGAGCGUUGUCCGGAGUUACUGGGCGUAAAGCGCACGCAGGCGGUCAGAUUAGUCUGUGGUGACAGUCGUCGGCUCAACUGACGAAGUACCAUGGAAACUGUCUGACUUGAGGGCUUCAGAGGGACACGGAAUUCCGGGUGGAGUGGUGAAAUGCGUAGAUAUCCGGAGGAACACCAAAGGCGAAGGCAGUGUCCUGGGAAGUACCUGACGCUCAGGUGCGAAAGCUAGGGGAGCGAACAGGAUUAGAUACCCGGGUAGUCC